GGGCGGUUAGCUCAGUCGGUUAGAGCGCCUCCCUUACACGGAGGAGGCCACAGGUUCGAGUCCUGUACCGCCCA
rnacentral:tRNA from 1 species